rnacentral:rRNA from 1 species
AGAGUUUGAUCCUGGCUCAGGAUGAACGCUAGCUACAGGCUUAACACAUGCAAGUCGAGGGGAAACGAUAGAGAAAGCUUGCUUUUUCUAGGCGUCGACCGGCGCACGGGUGAGUAACGCGUAUCCAACCUGCCCACCACUUGGGGAUAGCCUUGCGAAAGUAAGACUAAUACCCAAUGAUAUCUCUAGAAGACAUCUGAAGGAGAUUAAAGAUUUAUCGGUGAUGGAUGGGGAUGCGUCUGAUUAGCUUGUUGGCGGGGUAACGGCCCACCAAGGCGACGAUCAGUAGGGGUUCUGAGAGGAAGGUCCCCCACAUUGGAACUGAGACACGGUCCAAACUCCUACGGGAGGCAGCAGUGAGGAAUAUUGGUCAAUGGGCGAGAGCCUGAACCAGCCAAGUAGCGUGCAGGAUGACGGCCCUAUGGGUUGUAAACUGCUUUUAUAAGGGAAUAAAGUGAGCCUCGUGAGGCUUUUUGCAUGUACCUUAUGAAUAAGGACCGGCUAAUUCCGUGCCAGCAGCCGCGGUAAUACGGAAGGUUCGGGCGUUAUCCGGAUUUAUUGGGUUUAAAGGGAGCGUAGGCCGGAGAUUAAGCGUGUUGUGAAAUGUAGUGGCUCAACCUCUGCACUGCAGCGCGAACUGGUCUUCUUGAGUACGCACAACGUGGGCGGAAUUCGUGGUGUAGCGGUGAAAUGCUUAGAUAUCACGAAGAACUCCGAUUGCGAAGGCAGCUCACGGGAGCGCAACUGACGCUGAAGCUCGAAAGUGCGGGUAUCGAACAGGAUUAGAUACCCUGGUAGUCCGCACGGUAAACAAUGGAUGCCCCCCUGUUGGCCUUAAUAGGU